GUGAUUCUGAACUCUUUACCUCGGAAAAGAAGAGUAGCCAAUACUGCAGCUUUUGAAUGUGUAUGGAUCACUGCUCCAGCUCCUGUUAUAGUGUAAGCAUGCAUGAA